GAUGAAGAACGUAGCGAAAUGCGAUAAGUAGUGUGAAUUGCAGAAUUCAGUGAAUCAUCGAAUCUUUGAACGCACAUUGCGCCCCUUGGUAUUCCAUGGGGCAUGCCUGUUCGAGCGUCAUUUGUACCUUCAAGCUUUGCUUGGUGUUGGGUGUUUGUCUCGCCUUUGCGUGUAGACUCGCCUUAAAAUAAUUGGCAGCCGGCGUAUUGAUUUCGGAGCGCAGUACAUCUCGCGCUUUGCACUCAUAACGACAGCGUCCAAAAGCACAUUUUACACUCUUGACCUCGGAUCAGGUAGGGAUACCCGCUGAACUUAAGCAUAUCAAUAAGCGGAGGA
rnacentral:misc_RNA from 1 species